CAUGCGAAGGCAGCGGGGCAAGUCUGUGCGGUUUUGGUUCCCUUUGCGUGUGGUUGGCGCUUGGAUCGGUAGUGUCGCAGAACGGCCGCGGACGUGUGGGCGGUGUGGGUAGUCGUAGGUAUCGCCAAGGGCCUUGUGUACCGUCUUGUUCGUAGGACAUGCAGGACUGACUCGGUGUCCGGAAUUCCAUGGUAUUCAUGUGAUUGACGUUUGCUCAAGGGUACCUGAAUUAAGAAGGUGAUUCAGGCUGAUCGAGCAUGGCUAACUUUAAGGUGCGGGUGCUGUACGACUUCGAGCCUCAGCCGGACACGAGCGAGAUCCGGCUGCGGGAGGGCGAGGUGCUCACCGUCACACGCACCGACGUGGGCGAGGGCUGGUGGGAGGGCGUCAACGAUCAGCAGCAGUGCGGUCUCUUCCCGGAGGCCUAUGUCGAGUCCGUUCCAGCGGCGGCCGCACAGCCGGCGCCGCCUCCGCCG